rnacentral:rRNA from 1 species
GAUGAACGCUGGCGGCGUGCCUAAUACAUGCAAGUCGAGCGAACAGACGAGGAGCUUGCUCCUCUGACGUUAGCGGCGGACGGGUGAGUAACACGUGGAUAACCUACCUAUAAGACUGGGAUAACUUCGGGAAACCGGAGCUAAUACCGGAUAAUAUAUUGAACCGCAUGGUUCAAUAGUGAAAGACGGUUUUGCUGUCACUUAUAGAUGGAUCCGCGCCGCAUUAGCUAGUUGGUAAGGUAACGGCUUACCAAGGCAACGAUGCGUAGCCGACCUGAGAGGGUGAUCGCCCACACUGGAACUGAGACACGGUCCAGACCCCUACGGGAGGCAGCAUUAGGGAACCUUCCGCAAUGGGCGAAAGCCUGACGGGGAAACGCCGCGUGGGUGAUGAAGGUUUUCGGAUCGUAAACCUCUGUUAUUAGGGAAGAACAAAUGUGUAAGUACCUAUGACCGUCUUGACGGUACCUAAUCAGAAAGCCACGGCUAACUACGU